UACGUAGGUCCCGAGCGUUGUCCGGAUUUAUUGGGCGUAAAGCGAGCGCAGGUGGUUUAAUAAGUCUGAUGUAAAAGGCAGUGGCUCAACCAUUAUGUGCAUUGGAAACUGUUAGACUUGAGUGCAGUAGAGGAGAGUGGAAUUCCAUGUGUAGCGGUGAAAUGCGUAGAUAUAUGGAGGAACACCGGUGGCGAAAGCGGCUCUCUGGACUGUAACUGACACUGAGGCUCGAAAGCGUGGGUAGCAAACAGG
rnacentral:rRNA from 1 species